AGAGAGAGACAUGCGCGCAUAUCAAUAAGCGGAGGAAAAGAAACUAACAAGGAUUCCCCUAGUAACGGCGAGUGAAGCGGGAAGAGCUCAAAUUUGAAAUCUUAAAGGGUUUCCCUUUACGAAUUGUAGUUUAAAGAAGUGUUUUCUGUUGAGGUUUUGGUAAAAGUUCUUUGGAAUAGGACAUCAUAGAGGGUGAGAAUCCCGUAUUUGACCUUUACUUUCAACUUUGUGAUACACUUUCAAAGAGUCGGAUUGUUUGGGAAUGCAGUCCAAAAUGGGUGGUAAAUUUCAUCUAAAGCUAAAUAUUGGCGAGAGACCGAUAGCGAACAAGUACCGUGAGGGAAAGAUGAAAAGAACUUUGAAAAGAGAGUUAAACAGUACGUGAAAUUGUCAAAAGGGAAGCGUUUGACACCAGUGUUGUUUUUCUGAAAAUCAAUUAAAGAACUGUUUAUGCUAAGCUGUUUAGACUUUAUCAGCUAUCUGUUUAGUUUUGAGCUUUUCUUUAAUGCACUUUUCAGUUAACAAGUCAACAUCAGAUUUCUUUUGCUGUAAAAAAGCUUGAGGAAGGUGGCUUGAGAUUCGUCUUAAGUGUUUAUAGCCUCUUGCCUAUGCAGUCGGAGAGAUUGAGGUCUGCAGCGUAGAUCCUUCGGGGCUAAAUGCAUUUGUGCUAAGUUAUAGCAUUUUAUAGACAACUUGUUGACUAUGAUUUGUCUUGUAGCUUACUCGCUUAUGUUAUUUUACCUACGCUUAGGAUGUUGACGCAUGAGAUAUACGC
rnacentral:rRNA from 1 species